rnacentral:rRNA from 1 species
CCUACGGGGGCUGCAGUGGGGAAUAUUGCGCAAUGGGGGAAACCCUGACGCAGCAAUACCGCGUGAGUGAAGAAGGUUUUCGGAUCGUAAAGCUCUGUUAUUGGGGAAGAAAAAAAGACGGUACCCAAGAAGAAAGUCCCGGCUAACUACGUGCCAGCAGCCGCGGUAAUACGUAGGGGACAAGCGUUGUCCGGAUUUACUGGGCGUAAAGGGCACGCAGGCGGUUUUUUAAGUCAGAUGUGAAAGGUACCGGCUCAACCGGUGACAUGCAUUUGAAACUGAAAGACUUGAGUAUUGGAGAGGCAAGUGGAAUUCCUAGUGUAGCGGUGAAAUGCGUAGAUAUUAGGAGGAACACCGGUGGCGAAGGCGGCUUGCUGGACAAAUACUGACGCUGAGGUGCGAAAGCGUGGGGAGCAAACAGGAUUAGAUACCCCAGUAGUC